rnacentral:rRNA from 1 species
UGGGGAAUAUUGCACAAUGGGCGAAAGCCUGAUGCAGCGACGCCGCGUGAAGGAUGACGGCCUUCGGGUUGUAAACCUCUUUCAGUAGGGACGAAGCGCAAGUGACGGUACCUGCAGAAGAAGCACCGGCUAACUACGUGCCAGCAGCCGCGGUAAUACGUAGGGUGCGAGCGUUGUCCGGAAUUACUGGGCGUAAAGAGCUCGUAGGCGGUUUGUCACGUCGUCUGUGAAAUCCUAGGGCUUAACCCUGGACGUGCAGGCGAUACGGGCUGACUUGAGUACUACAGGGGAGACUGGAAUUUCUGGUGUAGCGGUGGAAUGCACAGAUAUCAGGAAGAACACCGAUGGCGAAGGCAGGUCUCUGGGUAGUAACUGACGCUGAGGAGCGAAAGCAUGGGUAGCGAACAGG